UGGGGAAUUUUGGACAAUGGGGGAAACCCUGAUCCAGCCAUCCCGCGUGUGCGAUGAAGGCCUUCGGGUUGUAAAGCACUUUUGGCAGGAAAGAAACGUCAUGGGUUAAUACCCCGUGAAACUGACGGUACCUGCAGAAUAAGCACCGGCUAACUACGUGCCAGCAGCCGCGGUAAUACGUAGGGUGCAAGCGUUAAUCGGAAUUACUGGGCGUAAAGCGUGCGCAGGCGGUUCGGAAAGAAAGAUGUGAAAUCCCAGAGCUCAACUUUGGGACUGCAUUUUUAACUACCGGGCUAGAGGGUGUCAGAGGGAGGUGGAAUUCCGCGUGUAGCAGUGAAAUGCGUAGAUAUGCGGAGGAACACCGAUGGCGAAGGCAGCCUCCUGGGAUAACACUGACGCUCAUGCACGAAAGCGUGGGGAGCAAACAGG
rnacentral:rRNA from 1 species